rnacentral:misc_RNA from 1 species
GAUGAAGAACGCAGCGAAAUGCGAUAAGUAAUGUGAAUUGCAGAAUUCAGUGAAUCAUCGAAUCUUUGAACGCACAUUGCGCCCGCCAGUAUUCUGGCGGGCAUGCCUGUUCGGGCGUCAUUUCAACCAUCAAGCCCCCGGCUUGUGUUGGGGACCUGCGGCUGCCGCAGGCCCUGAAAACCAGUGGCGGGCUCGCUAGUCACUCCGAGCGUAGUAAUACAUCUCGCUCAGGGCGUGCUGCGGGUUCCGGCCGUUAAAAAGCCUUAUUUACCCAAGGUUGACCUCGGAUCAGGUAGGAAGACCCGCUGAACUUAAGCAUAUCAAUAAGCGGAGGA